UACGUAGGGGGCAAGCGUUGUCCGGAAUCAUUGGGCGUAAAGCGCGCGCAGGCGGUCUUCCAAGUCAGUGGUGAAAGCCCGGAGCUCAACUCCGGAACUGCCAUUGAAACUGUAAGACUUGAGGAUGAGAGAGGUGAGUGGAAUUCCCAGUGUAGAGGUGAAAUUCGUAGAUAUUGGGAAGAACACCGGUGGCGAAGGCGGCUCACUGGCUCAUAUCUGACGCUCAGGCGCGACAGCGUGGGGAUCAAACAGG
rnacentral:rRNA from 1 species